rnacentral:lncRNA from 1 species
GAGUCUUUUCCCUUUCCAGUUUCCUUAUGCCCCAUUUAUUCAUUGUUUUUCUUUCCCUUUAUUCUUUAGGCCUGCAUUUUGCAUCUCUUUAUUUGAUCACAUUCUCCAGGGGUGUUUCUUCUUCACCUAACACAUGCUUCUUCUUUGUGAAUGAGCGGAGGACAGAAAAGUAGCAAGGAAGAAAUACACAGAAAACAGGCCUCAGAGAGCUACAGACAACUUUCCAAGGAGGGUUCUGAGAGAGAGGUGCAGGGGACUGCAAGUCUUCAAAGCCCAUGGUCUGUGGUCCAAGAGCCAAAAACRGUCACAAACUUUUCAACCGUUUGGAUGAAAAACUACAGCUCAUCUUGCUACUGCUUAUUCUUCAACAAGAAAAAGAAGGUAACAUCUAUGAAUAAUACAUUCUUUGGCUGACCUUGUCUUCAUCCCGAAUUGAGGAGCUUUUUGACUGAUUGGCCACCAUUUCUGUUUUUGAAUUUGACAGUGUCUUACAAAUGUGUCAAGUUAGGGCAGAGACAUAGCCCAAAUCAAGAGUAUCUCCAGGUAGAAUCUUCUGUUUUGAGGACCUAAGUUUUCAAAAGUUAAAAUGCAAUGAUCUCUGAGUACUGCUUGGAUGCCAUUUUGUGAUAGCUUUAUAAAAGUAUGACUCAGAGCAUGUAAUUAAUCCCUACAGCAUCUCACUCUUUGACAAGUUUUGCAACAAAUGGGACUUCACAAUAAUGGUGAAAUAAUUUUAUUUCCAAAAUGGCAGAAUGAAUUCAGCUGCAACAGUUCUGCCGGGGCUAUAGCAACGUAUUUAUUUCUUUACUUAGGAAAAAAAUCCAGUAAAGAUGGAUGUCUUCCACUUCAAAGCAAGGAAAGAAUUGUGAGACCCAACAAUGUAUAUGUAUAUGUGUAUGUGUACGAAUAAAGUUUAUUACAGACUU